GACCCUAUGAUCUAAUGGUAUGAUGCGACUUCUUCAUAGUCAAUAUACGAGUUCAAUUCUCGUUAGGGUUA
rfam:Candida albicans SC5314 mitochondrion, complete genome.